CCAGACUCCUACGGGAGGCAGCAGUGGGGAAUAUUGCGCAAUGGGGGAAACCCUGACGCAGCAACGCCGCGUGAGUGAAGAAGUAUCUCGGUAUGUAAAGCUCUAUCAGCGGGGAGGAAGGAAGACGGUACCCGACUAAGAAGCCCCGGCUAACUACGUGCCAGCAGCCGCGGUAAUACGUAGGGGGCGAGCGUUAUCCGGAUUUACUGGGUGUAAAGGGAGCGUAGACGGCAGAGCAAGUCUGAAGUGAAAGCCCGCGGCCCAACUGCGGGACUGCUUUGGAAACUGCCCGGCUAGAGUGCUGGAGAGGUAAGCGGAAUUCCUAGUGUAGCGGUGAAAUGCGUAGAUAUUAGGAGGAACACCAGUGGCGAAGGCGGCUUACUGGACAGUAACUGACGUUGAGGCUCGAAAGCGUGGGGAGCAAACAGGAUUAGAUACCCCCGUA
rnacentral:rRNA from 1 species